rnacentral:rRNA from 1 species
CACGUAGGGGGCAAGCGUUGUCCGGAAUCAUUGGGCGUAAAGCGCGCGUAGGCGGCCAGAUAAGUCCGGUGUGAAAGUCAAAGGCUCAACCUUUGAAUGCCGCUGGAAACUAUCUGGCUAGAGUCCGGAAGGGGCGAGUGGAACUCCUGGUGUAGCGGUGAAAUGCGCAGAUAUCAGGAGGAACACCGAUGGCGAAGGCAGGUCUCUGGGCCACUACUGACGCUGAGAAGCGAAAGCGUGGGGAGCGAACAGG